CCUACGUGAGGCUGCAGUGGGGAAUAUUGGGCAAUGGGCGCAAGCCUGACCCAGCAACGCCGCGUGAAGGAAGAAGGCUUUCGGGUUGUAAACUUCUUUUCUCAGGGACGAAGAAAGUGACGGUACCUUAGGAAUAAGCCACGGCUAACUACGUGCCAGCAGCCGCGGUAAUGCGUAGGUGGCAAGCGUUAUCCGGAUUUAUUGGUAGUAAAGGGCGUGUAGGCGGGAGCGCAAGUCAGAUGUGAAAACUCAGGGCUCAACCCUGAGCCUGCAUUUGAAACUGUGUUUCUUGAGUGCUGGAGAGGCAAUCGGAAUUCCGUGUGUAGCGGUGAAAUGCGUAGAUAUACGGAGGAACACCAGUGGCGAAGGCGGAUUGCUGGACAGUAACUGACGCUGAGGCGCGAAAGCGUGGGGAGCAAACAGGAUUAGAUACCCUAGUAGUC
rnacentral:rRNA from 1 species